rnacentral:rRNA from 1 species
CCUACGGGUGGCAGCAGUGAGGAAUAUUGGUCAAUGGUCGGGAGACUGAACCAGCCAAGCCGCGUGAGGGAUGAAGGUACAGAGUAUCGUAAACCUCUUUUGUCAGGGAACAAAGGCGGGGACGCGUCCCCGGAUGAGUGUACCUGAAGAACAAGCAUCGGCUAACUCCGUGCCAGCAGCCGCGGUAAUACGGAGGAUGCGAGCGUUGUCCGGAUUUAUGGGGUUUAAAGGGUGCGCACGCGGUCUGUUAAGUCAGCGGUCAAAGCCCGGGGCUCAACCCCGGCCCGCCGUUGAUACUGGCAGUCUCGAGUUGGAGAGAAGUAUGCGGAAUGCGCGGUGUAGCGGUGAAAUGCAUAGAUAUCGCGCAGAACUCCGAUUGCGAAGGCAGCAUGCCGGCUCCACACUGACGCUGAGGCACGAAAGCGUGGGUAUCGAACAGGAUUAGAUACCCCUGUAGUC